ACAGGGCGGAGCUACCAUGCAGUCGAGCGAGAACUUCGGUUCUAGCGGCGGACGGGUUAGUAACGCGUGGGAACGUGCCCUUCACUACGGAAUAGUCCCGGGAAACUGGGUUUAAUACCGUAUACGCCCUUCGGGGGAAAGAAUUUCGGUGAAGGAUCGGCCCGCGUUAGAUUAGAUAGUUGGUGGGGUAACGGCCUACCAAGUCUACGAUCUAUAGCUGGUUUUAGAGGAUGAUCAGCAACACUGGGACUGAGACACGGCCCAGACUCCUACGGGAGGCAGCAGUGGGGAAUCUUAGACAAUGGGCGCAAGCCUGAUCUAGCCAUGCCGCGUGAGUGAUGAAGGCCUUAGGGUCGUAAAGCUCUUUCGCCAGGGAUGAUAAUGACAGUACCUGGUAAAGAAACCCCGGCUAACUCCGUGCCAGCAGCCGCGGUAAUACGGAGGGGGUUAGCGUUGUUCGGAAUUACUGGGCGUAAAGCGCGCGUAGGCGGAUUGGAAAGUUGGGGGUGAAAUCCCAGGGCUCAACCCUGGAACUGCCUCCAAAACUAUCAGUCUAGAGUUCGAGAGAGGUGAGUGGAACUCCGAGUGUAGAGGUGAAAUUCGUAGAUAUUCGGAAGAACACCAGUGGCGAAGGCGGCUCACUGGCUCGAUACUGACGCUGAGGUGCGAAAGUGUGGGGAGCAAACAGGAUUAGAUACCCUGGUAGUCCA
rnacentral:rRNA from 1 species